rnacentral:lncRNA from 1 species
CGCCGCCGCGCGCUGCUCCUCCUGCUGCUGCGAGCUGUCAGUCCAGCCCCGCUCCGCCCCCCGGCUCCGCCCCCGGGUCACCUUCCCCUCCGCGCCGCACGCUUCUGGGUUCCCUCUUGCUGCUCAGCGUACCGGGGGGCGGGGGGUAGGGGGGAGAACGGGGGCCGAGGGCUUCUAGGGGCUCCGAGAAGACGCCGGCGAGGCUGCAGACCUCGGGGGUUCCAGUGCAGUGACAUCACGAGGAGGUCACACCCGUGCAGCCAGAGGCGGAGCUGGAUGCGGAUUGUAACCCUCGCACCUGUAGGGCUGCCCUCGUCCCCGAUAGUCCUGGGCCCGACCCCGGGGGCAAAGAGACCAAGGCAGAGUCGGGUGGAAGGUUUUCUGAGCGAUGGGAGGGCCGAGGGGACGGACACGGAAAGGAAGGACUUUGUAAAUGAGGGUGGUUCUCGUGCUGGACGGGAUCCAUCCUCCCGGGCCCCAGGUUGCAUGGUGCAGACGAGACAGAGGCUGGCACAGCACGGGCAGCAAAGGGCCCACCAGCUGAGGACUGAGAAAACCCCACUGCUCGCUCUGAAGUCGCAGCUCCAGCUCUCCAGGAACUUCAUUUGCGAGGUGACUGUCACCAGGGUCACUCCAGGCGGCUUGGCUGGGAGACAGGAGGAUGCAUGUGGGAAAAUCCUACAGCCCUGCAGGAUUCUAGGCGGAGUCAAAUGUGCUGAUCUGGUGGAGGAGACAAGCGCCACCUGCUGGCUUCCUCCUCCCCCCAAACCUCCUCUCUCACCAACCUCUAUUAUCCCCUCAACCUCCCAGACGUUUAAAAACCGGGCUUGA